CAGAAACUUAGCAGAUUCCAAGAAUAAGAAGGAGAAGAUUUCUGAAUGUGGUGAUGAUUUGGAAAGAAAAGAAGCUGGUGUGGCUGUUGUUGAUGUUGCUCAGGAGGAAGAGCAUGGCCAUGGGGCUCAGCCCUUGACAAAAGAGCAGAGAAGAAAAUUGAAACCUAACCCCAGGCUGAGUAAUUUGCCAAAGCAAUCUCAGGGCGAGCAGGUGGCUGCUGGAUGGCCUUCUUGGCUCACAGCAGUUUGUGGGGAGGCACUCAGUGGUUGGAUUCCGAGGAAGGCUGAUACAUUUGAGAAGAUUGAUAAGAUUGGACAAGGAACAUACAGUAAUGUGUACAAAGCAAAAGAUAUACUGACUGGUAAGGUCGUUGCACUGAAGAAGGUACGUUUUGACAAUUUAGAGCCAGAAAGUGUAAGAUUUAUGGCCAGAGAGAUUCUCAUUUUGCGACGCCUAGAUCAUCCUAAUGUUGUAAAGCUAGAGGGUUUGGUUACAUCAAGGAUGUCAUGUAG
rnacentral:misc_RNA from 1 species